GGACAGCUGCUGAUUGGGUAGACUAUAACUGCUUCCAUCUGCACAGCAGGAAGGUUGCUGAUUCGAAUCUUGUUUACAGGUAGGUUCGAGCCAGUCAAGGGCAGCUUGGAAGCGGUGGGAGAGGAGCUUCCAGGGCUGAGGAUCAAGCUCCAGUUUAGAGGAAGAAUUCUGGCCCUGGGUAGUCUCAAGUGAAGGGAUGCUUCACCGAGAGAUGGAUAAGUGAGAGAGAUCUCCAUCCAUCAAAGACCUACAUCGAGUUUCAACACAGAAAGUGGGAGCUGGAAGAAGACCAUGGCACCAACAAAUGGGGUUAGACUACUAUCAACAAAAGCCAACGCAGGAACCUGGAGGCAGUAACUGAAGCAGAGAUCACAGAAGAGCUGCUUGCUGGCUCACUUCCAGUUCCCCCAACUCCUACCCCGCAUCUCCCUACCACCAAUCAGCUACCUAUCUAUCAUAUAAAUCCCAGCCCACUUGUACAGGGAUGGUAUCGCCCACAGUGGGCCGGGGCCUUCUACCUUACUGAGCAAUCAUGAAAAUGCCCCAUGAACAUGCCCACAGGUGACUCUGAUGAAGGCAGUUCCUCAGCUGAGGUUCCUCUUGCCAGGUAUGUGAAGCUGGCAGCUGAAGCUAAUAUGACAGGGAUUGGGUGUGUGAUGAGGAAAGUAUCUUGUAAGACUGUGUUCUGAGUGUUAGAAGGUGCUCACCAUGAUUAAUGCUAGUGGACAAGGAUGGAGGAAGAGGAGUUCCUGUCCAGGAGGCACAGGAUCCCAUCGCCAUCACACAAUAGCACGUGUGUGGAGAGAACACAUUGCUGGGUAUGGAAAAGAGCUCUGUUGCCUCUGAUGAUGUUACAAAGAGGGAAGAGGCAAGAAACAUACACACAGCAGCUGCUAUGAGGGCCGUUCACUCAGUCAAUACAAGAGGCAGAGACCUGAACUAGCUAACCUGGUCUGUCUCGCCAUGUGACCAGCUCAGUCCUAUUAUGAUAGAGUAAGAAGCCUUCACCAAAUGGGAGAGUGAUGUUCUUUCACACACACACACACACACACACACACACACACACACACACACACACACACAGCCUCCAGAACCAUGGCCAAAUAAAUCUCUCAGUUAGUUUCACACUACUGCCUUGAAACGUGUGAGAUGUUAACUCCUAAGUGAGAAGCUUUAUCAUGGCUUGCAGAGUGCAGUCCAACUGCAGACUCACCGCUUCAGGUCUCUGUUGGGGUGCCAGGUGUCAGUGGUAGGAGACACAUGAGAGCGAAAAUGGAUUAUCUCAUUGUCAGAGAAAAUAUUCCCAGAAUCCCUUGUAAGAGCUGCCCCAAAACCUCCAACUCAGCUUUGCCUCUUGGAGAUUCCACCAUCUCCCAAGAGUGCUACCCUAGGACCAAACCUUUUACUAAGUGGGCUUUCAGGGACACUUAUCCAAACACUGAACCUGUACUCUUUAUAAAUUAUCUGUUGUCAAGCAACAAAAAAUACACAAGCUAGCUGAGUGUUUUGGUCAAACUGUCUUGAACCCUUGUUAACUACCCAGGCUAUAAUAUAGGAAUGCUAUAGCUAGAGCUAUAAUAGAUGCUCUCUCCCUUUCUGCCUCUUUCUAAGCCCCACAGUACAGGUACCCACAAUUCUGAAGUGUGGCUACAGGCUCAAUUUUGUGAGGAAUUCUCUGAGGAGUGCUUACGUUUCCAAUGGUCUUAUAACAAGGUCAUCUUGCUCAGUGGUGUCUAGAACUAUUGUCCUAUGCAUGAAUGCCUAUUCUGGUAACUGUCUAGCAUUCCAUUUCUCCAGACUCUGAGUCCUUUUGGCUGGUACUACGUGCCUGUCUCCACCUAGACCUUUGCCAACCGGUUAUGAGACACACAAUGCCUCCAUUCUAGCUUUAUUACAGGUGUGGUCUCCCAUCACCAGCCCAGAACUUAUCACCUUCCAUAUUCUAGAGUUCCUACAAGGCCUGGGGUCUCUUUGUCUAUCUUUGGAAAUAAGUGAUGUUCAAGGUCUAGUGACAGAAACCUCUAUCUAGGGAGUGACAUACAGAAGCUAGGAAGGAACAGUCUGAGAUGCUCCGAUGACCACAGCCACUUCCCCAAAAGACUUGUAUUCUCAAAAGAAAAAAAAAAUGGAGGGGAACACCUAAAGACUAAGAAACCCUGAUGGCACGAGGCACUAGAAACCACAUCCCGGAGUCAAGUUUGAAUCCCCUUCUCUUCGAUCUUUGUAUUUGGUCUUGUGGACACGGUAUGUUGCUGGAGCCAAGAUGAGACAGACCACAGAGAUGCUUGCUCACCUGAGCUGGCAUCAGAGGUCUGCAUAUGCUGCACUAACUCAUCUAUUGUUCAAUCUUCUGUUUGUUUAGCAAGGACUAGCUAGGUGAGCUGCCAUGCUGCCGGACAGGUCUGGUUAACUGCGGGAGGAGUGUUCCAAUCUUUAUUAAAGUAUGUUUUGAAAAGUCUAAGCCAACAGAUUCCAUCCUGGGCUUUCUCCUUACCCCUUGGCAGUUACCAAAGUGUCAUUUCCUGCUCUCUGGGGGCAUUCUGCUUUCCCAUCACCAUUCCAUCUGAAACUGCCACUCUUGUCCCCUCAUGAGCAUGCCUGGUUGUCCUCUCUCCUGUGCAGAGCUGACUUCUGCCCACAGUCCUCCAAGUUCAGUGAGUGGGGUGUCGUUACUCACUGGCAUUUAUAAUCACUCACUUCCUUUUACUUUCCUGACUUAUCUCUCCCUCUCUUUGAAGACUUUCAAUGUCCUUGUGAGGAGUGGAACUUAACCUUUUCUCAGGCUGUUCAAUUACACCGUAUUUUGUAAAUCAUCACAGACCUUCCCGAUGACAAAGGCCUCACUGUGUGUGCAGGUUCUGAUAUCUUCAGCUAUGAACAGGUUCCUAGUAAUUACCCCAGUGUGCUGGGCACUCUUGCAUGAAGAAAAGGGACGUCCCUUUCCCACAGCUUAUCAUGACUUGGGCCUCACCUCUUACUGCCAUUGUCCCUGAGAGUUUAAAGGAGACAACAUUCCCAACAGAGCUGACAUUUUAUCUUAUUAUUUCUCAAUCUUGGUCAUAGCUUCCCUUCAAACUGGUAGUCUCUUAGAAUUACCUUAAGAAAUCUUGGGGUGCCAGAAAAAUUCAGUUUAAAAAGCAAAGUGCUAUCUAUUACUGUGUUAUCAAGCUGGUAGUACUUUCAGAAUAAACUUAAACUUCUACAAAUCACAAAGCCACACAAGUGGUAGUCUUUUUGUGAAAUGGGAUCAAAUGACUGCAUUAAUUCACGGUCUCUAAUUUCUCAGGUCAGAUAGCCACUCUUACUCUACCCUUCGUCUCUCAUAACACCCAGAGCCUCACAGUGGCCAAGAAAAAGAAACUGGCUAAGGCUGAGCCUAGAGUUGGUCUAUUACAGUUUAGGAAGCAACCAGAAGAUCUCGACUGGUGUUAGCAGCUUAUAACAGUAGUGCAGAUUCAAGGACAGUUCUCCCUGGCUUCGCAGUGCUGAGAUUUGGGGAUGGGGUGGGGGUUGUUCCCAUCCCUCAGUGGUGGCCUUGUCAGCAAUGGGCAGGAAAAUAAACUCUCUCAUGGUUGUGAUGGCACAGUGGCGAGUGCCUGUAGCCACUGAGGGACGGGGAUGCUGACCUUCAGCAGUUUGCUUUUUCUGUUCUAUUCAGUCUAGAACCUCAGCCUGCUCAAUGGUGUCUCCGCAUUUAGGGUGGGCCUUCCCACUUCAGUUAGUCAAGCUUUUUAGGAUGCCUUAGACAUUCUGGAGAUUCUAGAGCCUGUCAUGUUAACAGUAAUCACAACCUGAAUGUUAGUAACCAGUCAUGGGGUGGUCAUUCUGAUGAUCUAAAAUAAACCUGUAUUGAGGUUACUUUAUUAUUAACAUGGUAAAAAUAAAAAUAUCAAAAAUCUAAAAUUCAUAAAGCUGAGGAUGUGGCUCAGUGGGUUCAGAUCCUCAGCCACACAUAGAAGCAAAGCAUGGGGACAUAAAUGUCUAUUCUCAGAGCUGAAGGCAUGAUGAUCCUGUAAGCUUACUGACUGACCAGACAGGCUAGCCGAAAUGACAAGCUCAAAGUUCAGAGAGUGACCCUGUCUCAAAAACUAAGGUGACAGGCUUGGAAGAUGACUCAGUUGGUAAGGGUGCUGACUGCAAGAAAGAGUAGAAGGAACUGAGUUUGAAUCCCAACUCUUAAAAAGCUAGGCAUGGCUGGAGUUAUCUGUGACCCUGGGCCACUGGGGCAGAGACAAACAGGCAGGUCACUGGGGUCGAGUCUAGCUCCAGGUUCACUUAGAGAGUCUAUCUCGAUGGGAUACCUCAGAGAGCAACAGAGCAGAGCAACGAUUCCCAUCCUUUUGUCUCCAUGUGCAGAUAUGUGAGCAUGCACCCUGCAUGUAUGUGAACAUGCAUGCCUGCACAUACACAAACAUGAUCACCAUACAUAGUCCCAUACAGAUAUAUAAAAAUAUACAUAAGGUGUAGAACAAUAGAAGACACCGACAUCCACCUCUGAGUUUCACAGAUGCACACACAGUAAGCACAGUCACAUAAGCACACACACAUGUACACACCACACACACAUACAACACAAACACACUGGAAAAAAAUUGCUGGGAGUUUGAGACUAAUCUGUGUGUCAGGACCUAGUAUGUAAAACUGGCUCCUAAGUAGCUGGCUAUAACUGGUUUAUAAGGAUAUGCGCACCUCCAUUCACUGCCCCAAAGGAGGCUUUCCCCAUGGACCUGAUUUUCUAGUCCCCGAGAGCUCAGACUCUGGCUCCUGAGUUGACCUUUCCCUGGCAUCCAUUGCAGCCCAUAGCUGGAGGUAGCGAGCGUGGGGCAGGCAGUAUCCCUGUGGCCCACUCCUCAACUCUCAAAUCCUUGCCUGGCACAGAUGAAGCUACCCAUGAUGGGAGGGCCUGUAGGCAACCCAUGAUGGCAUCGUCUCAAUUUUGAACAAUUAACAAUCUCCUCACGGGGCACAUAUUUCAGUGUGCGCUUCAAAACCUCUCACUACGCCUUAACAAAGCCCGAGACACUGAUGCCAGUAUCCAACAGCUGCAGUCCUGAUGAAUCCAGUCUCUCCAGCAUAGACGAUGCAUAUAAUUUUGGAUCCUCAGUGAAUAUCAUGUGAUAAGCAUGCAACAUCUGUCUGCCUAUGAGUAAAUGGAUACAUGAAUGGCUGAGUGAUGAAUUGGUCAAAAUGCAAAAUUAGUGCCUAUUAAAGUAAUUCAUGGUGGUGGGUUCUAUCUGAGGACUUGGCCUGUCUGUCUCCAACAUCUUUAAUCUUUAAUUGUACUGAAGCAAGAUUACCUUUUCCUAAUUAAAACCUUUCUCUAUAGAACGUGUUUUGCUUGUUCGUUUGUUUGUUUUUAAGCCUUUUGUCUAAGCUAGGCAUGUGGCACACCUAUAGUUUCAGCACCUGGGGACCAAGAUGAAGAGUUCAAGGACAGCCUGGGACAGAGGCUAGACCUUGUCACAAUAAAAAAAUAAAUUAAAUUUAAAAGUAUGUAAAGGGGAGAUGUGGGUUCAGUGUUUCUCUCAGUGACAACGCUCUCGUCCAGCUCACAAAAGCCUCUGGGGAAAAAAAAAUAAAAGCAAUAACAGAACAGGAAAACAAAAAUCUAGUUUCUGGACGGGCAAGAUGGCUCAGUGGCUUCUGAUCAUGCAAAGGACCUGAGUUCGGCUCCCAACACCCACAUCAAGUGGCUCAAAACCAUGUGUUUAUGCCAACUUCAGGAAGCUCUGAUGCCUCUGGCCUCUUUGGGCACCUGUACUCCUGUGAACACACCCAUAUAAUAUACAUAAUUGAUAACGGAACAUUUAUUUUAAAGUUUGAUUUCCAUGCAGUUAUUUUAAAGCUUUUUUUUUUUUUUUUAAUUGCAAAGGAUUUGACGUGUGACCCAAGGAGUGAUUUUGGUAUCUGGCCUAUUGCCAAGGCAAAAGCUAAAGCGAGAAGUUCCCAUUAGCCUGAAAGCUAACAGGAAUGUAAACGCUGUUCUAGCAAAGGCAGUGUGCACGGUAAGGGCACUGGCUGCAGACCUCACACAUUCCUUAGACUGUGCUCAACAUCACCAGAAAUGCUGGCCACAGUUCAACUGAGAGAAGAAACACCCUUCUCUCUUGUUCAAGCAACGCUCCCACUGUAUAGAGAAAUUACUUACAUUACCUUAAAGAGGGGUGUGCGUGCUAACAAAGCUUUUAAUUAGUUAAUUUCCAACAGAUAUUUGAGAAAAUAUAGAAAUGCACUUCCUGUUAUAAAAUUACAUAGACUGUAAAUCCAUUUCUAGUGGUUCUGGGGAAUGUGGGAGAUCUUUCUUUUUUUUUUUUUUUUUUUUUUCCAUUUUUUAUUAGGUAUUUCGCUCAUUUAUAUUUGCAAUGCUAUACCAAAAGUCCCCCAUAGCCACCCACCCCCUCUCCCCUACCCACCCACUCCCCUUUUAUGGCCCUGGCGUUCCCCUGUACUGGGGCAUAUAAAGUUUGCGUGUCCAAUGGGCCUCUCUUUCCAGUGAUGGCCGACUAGGCCAUCUUUUGAUGCAUAUGCAGCUAGAGUCAAGAGCUCCGGGGUACUGGUUAGUUCAUAAUGUUGUUCCACCUAUAGGGUUGCAGAUCCCUUUAGCUUCUUUGGUACUUUCUCUAGCUCCUUCAUUGGGGGCCAUGUGAUCCAUCCAAUAGCCGACUGUGAGCAUCCACUUCUAUGUUUGCUAGGCCCAGGCAUACUCUGACAAGAGACAGCUAUAUCAGGGUCCUUUCAGCAUAAUCUUGCUAGUGUAUGCAAUGGUGUCAGCAUUUGGAAGCUGAUUAUGGGAUGGAUCCCCGGAUAUGGUAGUGUCUACAUGGUCCAUCCUUUUAUCUCAACUCCAAACUUUGUCUCUGUAACUCCUUCCAAGGGUGUUUUGCUUGUAUGUGGGAGAUCUUUCCGGGAAGGGAUCCGGUUCCUUUUCUAUCCUUAACUCUUCCUGUUCUGGGAUUUUACCUACUGUGUAACCUCAUCACUACAGAACUGCUUAAUUGGUUAAUCUGCCUCACAGCCCACAUUUCACAUUUCACGUAACAACAGAAUAAAGGCGACUGACUGGGCUUUGAAAUGCAAACUUCCCCUGGAAACAAUGUGGGGAAGAGGUGGUUAGCUAACAUGGGUAGAGUCAAUCUCCUCACCAGGCUCUUGGUUUUCAAAAUAGAAUAAAGAAUACGGAUGCAAAAGUACUGCCUUCCUCUGUAGAUUCUCCAUGGCUCUGCUGUCACUCAGGAUCAGCAAGCACUGUGUGUGUGCUUGAAGGGAUACCAUGACCAGUAUACCAAUACUCUCUGCUGUCUCCGUGGGCCCAAGGCCAGAAGUAUUAGGAAAUGGUAGAGGUGCUUACCCACAUAUGGAUGGAUUACAGCUCGUAAGCAGAAAAAAAAGCUUAACCCAUGGGCUAGUUAGUUCUCCAUCUCUAUGACAAAACGCCUGGAAAAUCAGAUUAUGAGAAGACACCUGGGAAGUUAGUGUCUAAGGAGGGAGGGUUCAUCGUGGGUCACAGCUGAAGAUGGUCAGUGUGUUUUGCUCAUCCUGGUUGCCUUUGAACUUCGGCUGACACAGCCCUUCUUGGUCAAGAGUGUGGGAGAUGAAAACUCCUCCCUUCACAGAGGCAGGAAAGGAGGUAGAGGGGAAGAUAGACAGAGACAGAGAGACUGAGAGACCUAGACCAGAUCCCAGUACACCCUUUCAAGGGCACGCCUCCGCUGACCUAACUUCCUUCACUAGGUGCUGCUUCUUUUCUGAAGAUCGUUAUAACGAAUCAAUUAAGCCUGUAUGCAGUGCUUGAUCACAUUUACCGCUUCACGGCUCUUUUCCUUACUCGCUGACCUUUUUUAUUUUUUGGUUUUUCGAGACAGUUUCUCUGUGUAGCCCUGGCUGUCCUGGAACUCACUCUGUAGACCAGGCUAACCUCGAACUCAGAAAUCUGCCUGACUCUGCCUCCCGAGUGCUGGGAUUAAAGGCGUGCACCACCAUGCCCGGCUCUGACCCUUUUUCUAAAUAAACCUACUUUUAUGUCUGUUGAUUCGUUAUUCUUGAUAUUUUGUUUUGUUUGUUGGUCUCUGUGUGUGAACCAAUGAUUUUAAUUUGGAUGACUAAAACUAGAGAGCAUGGUAGGUCCCACUUUUUAAAACCCAGUGACAUAGGCUGGCAAGGAAGCCUUUAGCACAUAGGCCUUUGGGGGACUUUAACUGCAAGCCUUAGCAACCCUCAUUUUUUUCCUCCCCAGAAAUUCACAGAGCUUUAGCCUACUCUCUCAAGACACUGAAAAGCUUUUGUUUGAUACAAUUGCUAGACCCAGGAACCCACCCGAGCAGCUUUUUCUCAUUGGUCUGCACUGAGGCCUUAAGGCCUCUACUUACACAGCCUGGUGUGUGUAGAUGGAGACUCUUUAGAUUAAAGGUACCUGGCGAGAAGAAGCCAUUCACCUUCAAGCAAGACAAAUGGAGUAUCACUUAAAACGUCCUAUGGCAGCCUGACAUGAGGCUGGUGGCAAUGUCCAUGAGACAUCAAGAAAGGAACAUCUAUACACCAAAGGCACAAUGCACAAAACAGGGCACGGGGAUAUCUGAACACCAGAGAAAGCAGAUAUGAGUCACAGAUACUCCUCUGCCCCAACGAGGAUCAAUGAAGACAGACCUUCCUAUGUAAACCUGAGGUCUGCUUAGGACAUCCUUGGAGCCUCUCUAUUCUAAGCAACCAGUCCAACAGUGCUGGCUUGCCAUUGAUGAACUCAGUUUAAAUGAUGUCUGCCUUUUAUACAGGGAUCUGGUACGUGGACUCGUGUGCGCUCUCUCCUUCCCCCACCUCUCUGAUUACACACACGGUUAUUAUGGUCAUGGAGCCCUUGGCACCAGCUUUGAGGCUCUGCAGAUCCAGGGGUGGGGAGAAUAGGGUGGAUGAGGACUCUGGGUAGAUUCUCUAGGCUCACAGAACAAUCACCGUCAGCAUUCACUGGCUGAGACACUACAGACUCUGUCCCAUCCCAUACUACACAGGGAUAACAGUUAUUACAAACUGCCGCCUUUCUUGCUGAAUGAACACUUGGGCUAAAAUCCUGUGCAACCGCAUAGUGACAAGAAUAAACACACCCAAAAACCCAAAAGUCCUCUGGAGUCCUUCAGAGCACUCUGACUCACAACUCGGAGAUCACAAAAAAUCCCUAUAGUUACUCCUUUCCCCUCUCCCUGUAUUGUCUCAAACAGCUGGAACCUCUUCAUAUCCCACCUUACCUGACUCACUAGCUCUGCUUCCAGCUUCCGCUUCUAAGGGACAAGGGACACAACAAUAUCCAGAGCUGUGACUGCACUUCCUGCUUGCUGUUCUUUCUUUCUCUGUAACUCCUCACAGUCAGGAGUAGGUUCCCAGCACUUUGCAUUUAUAAAUGUAAACAACUCUAGCGUAUAGGCCCUCUUAAGUUGUCUUUUGUCAAAUGAAGAGCUGGAAGCUGGGACACUGAGCGUUCUCCUCCAGUCCUAAGCUGGUCCACUUCUCUGAGCACUGUAUGCAUUCAUGGAGCUACCUGGACAGACGUCAGGCGGCAGUGAAAUCUACGCUGGAACCUCUUGGGUGUCUGCACUGCCUGCUGGCACAAUUCAGCAAGGAGGCCAGGGCUGGACUUGCGGCUGCAGCUCCAAAGCCAUAAUCACCAGACUGCUGUCCCCUGAGGCAAUGCCAGCAGAAACUAUAAUUUCAGCAGAACCCUGAUAAGCAUAUGAAUAAUGUAUAUGAUGUAAUGGGCUUUGAGUUAUUAGAGGGAAAUGGGGUUAGGACAGAUAGAUUAGACCUUAAUAUUUGCAGCUGACUUCCAGGACACAAGUCUUCAUGGGCAGUUGCCUGUCCUUGUCAAAGGCCCAUCACAGGCUUUCUUUGGAGAGAAAGCUGAACACUAACUAUCUUUGUACUGCUGCAGACAUGCUUGUAUUGGAAGAUAUGUCGUCCCUGAGUGGUAAGACACUAAGGUAUCUAUCUCAGCCUACUGUAAGACUUUGGAGAAAUCAGGACACCUUUACCAAUUAGGACACUUCCUGUUCACUUCUGCUCCUCCAGGCCUAAAUAAAGCCUGUUCUGUUCUCAUUAAGGCCUGACUUAAUUACCUAAAAUAAAAUCAGGACUUAGUGCAGUACCAUCAGUUACACUAUACCAGUCAAAACAUCAUCCAACCAGCUCUGUGAAUUAUGCAUCACAGUGGCACUGUGAAUGACAGCCACCUCCAUUGGACAUGGACUCACACUUAACCUGGUCCUGAUCAGUCCUCAUUAUCGUCUUACAGAGCAGUUUCUACUUAGCAUCUCAUAUUCUUAGAGACUAAAAGCACUGCUCAGAAUAGAAGCAUACUUCUGUAGUCGAAAGCUAAACAUUUACCUAAGGUGGAAUAAUUCAAGCUCAUGCGGUCAUUCGAAACAUUUGAGGGCAGGAGUCUUGCUGUGUAGUAAAAAAAAAUAUUCCUAAGCAUUUAACAUUUUAUCAAACUGAUGUUUACAAAGCACCCCCUCUCCUCUCCUAAUCUCCCCACUCCUGUUCUCCUUCAAACAAUUAUUUGAUUUUUAAAUGCCAGGAGUUAAUAACACCCAGGUACUAAUCCUUCCUUUACUUAUUGGCUGUCAAGACCAAACCUGCCCAGGAAAAACAAGUCUUUCCAGAAAAAUCUCUAGAGGGAGAUAUUUUCUGGGGAGGACUGAACUUCGAUGAUGCCUAUUCAUUUCAGAAACGACCUUAUGAAAUGAGUCUGUGCAAUAUUAGCUUCUUACUGCCUGUGUUUACACACUCAUUUUCCUAAAGCCAUCUCGUCCUGCCUGCACCUAUCCAGGUGAGACAAAGUCUCCAGAUUACAGCUGGUGGCUUUCUCUCCAUUUCCAUACUUGACAAGGCACUCAGAAUGCCAAGGAACACAGUAUGUCGAACGGGUGCCUGGAAUUGUCUGUGCCUUCUGUUUAGUUCUAUGUGUGACUUAGAGAUCAUGCUUUAUACUCUGCAAAGACAGACCCAAUAGUCCCUCUGCUUUGUGAGAUUAAGAACAAAGGCCAGGACAUUUACCAUGAGAGCCAAUGCUUUCCUGUCUCCUUUUCUUCCCUUCUGCCCUCUACCUUCCUUCGGGACCUAGUGAAAGUCUGCCACUGAUGAGCAAGGCCGCUCCAUUUGCACACUGACCACGCUGGCUCCGUGAUGUCACAGAGCUUAGUGGAAUUUGGAAGAGGGACUAUGAAGGGAUGUGGAAAUAGAAGAUGCACUGCUAAGACAGAUGCUUGAUUCUGACACCGUUUUCAACAAGACUGGUGCUUUUUUUACUCCUUUCAAAGAUGGGUGUCCUCUACAAGGCUGUCUACUUUCCUAAGCUUUUGUUCCCCUGAAGGUGUGUGUGUGUUGGAGGUGGGGUGCUGUAUAUGUGGAUGCAUAUGUCUGUGUGCUCCCAGAGGCCAGAGAAAAAUACUAUCUCCACUCUGUGUAAGCACUAUGGGACCUCUAAAACAAAGGUCUAGUUCAUGAGAGUAAGGAAUAAGAAAAGAUGCUUCCUCAAGGACUUUAUAAUAGUCAGUGCUCAAAAUACUGUACAGAAAGUUGACCAUAAGCAUCAGAACAGUAAAGACCCAGUGGCCUUUACAGGAGUACCUGCUCAAGUGUACUCAGCUAAAACAUGGGAUUAUAAACAGUCCCUGUGACAAACUAAAAGACCAGCAAACGAGGGUGCAAGGUGUGAGAUUUUUUGGUCACCAACAGUUUUUUUUUUAACUUAAUUUAACUUGUGUGUGUGUGUGUGUGUGUGUGUGUGUGUGUGUGUGUGUGUGUGUGUGUAUGCACGUGUGCACGCAUGGGUAUGUGCACAUGUGUGCAGAUGCCCUAGGAGGCCAGAAGAGAAUGUUGGAUUCCUUGAAGGUGAAGUUACAGGAGGUUGUGAGCCACCUUAUGUGGGAAUAGGAGUUGAACUUGCAGCUAUGAAGUAUAUCAAGAGUUCUUACCUGCUGAGCCAUUUCUCCAGAACCUUCAACCAAUGUUUUUAUUGGCCCUAAGGAAGGGGAAGGGAUCCCAAGCCAUUAUAAAUAUGUCCACGAAGCACACAAGCAGAGGUCCUGAAAUGUGAAGAUGUCAUGGACAGGUCAUGUGGGCAAAUACCCACUCUGCAACUGAGAUGACAGUGAGCAGAUUAUAGAGCUCUGAGAAGGAUGGUCUGUAGGCUUAUUACUUUAUAAAAACAAAACAGCAUGACACCCUAUGGGGAUGGUUCAGGAUCCUCUGUCAAGUGGGCUGAGGAAAGGGGAAAAUGUAUUUAGCCAGGGAGUAGGGAGGGGAAGGAGGCUGUCUUAGGUAAAGGCCAGAGGGCAAGUCUUCCUAAGAUGACAGGUUACAACUCAGACCUACUUGAGAAGCUGGAGGUAGUCUGGUUGCAAGCACAGACUCACAAGGGGAUCUGCUGUUCUUUCUCCAGAGGACUAACCUCCAAAAACUUUAAGUAGGGAAUGUGGGCCUUCAGCACAGGCUGCCUUGUAGAGCCACACAAGUCACAGAGAUGUAACUCACAGACAGUCACUAGUCAAUAACAACUGUACGAGGUAAGGUGCAGCAUCUCUUAACCAGUCUCCUAAUUUGCAUACUCAAGGCUUCACCUUUGAGGCCUGAACUGGCUUAGCCCCCUUGCUGGCCUUCCCAGGCUCCGACCCCACUCCUUUUUCCUCUCCCUGUUUAGCCUCUUCCCUUCUGAUAUCAGUCAAAGCUAAGCACACAAACUCAACGGAUGCUUGCUGCUAGCACAUACUUUUUCUGAGCACUUAGCUUCCUUACUGGUCACAGAAGGAAUAUCAAACCUCUUGGGUUGUUACAAUUUUGAAAUUAGUGGAUCUAUGGAAAGAUCUCAGCAGAAGGCCAGACCCACAGGACUUAUAUAAAUGUUAUAUCCUCCUCCCUUAAGCUUCUGUAAGAGUAGUUAAAAAAUAGCGAUACAAUCAUAGACUAAUGAAAACAGACAGCUACAGUAACAGUGUUAAAUUUUAGCUUUAGAUGACUUAGAUGCAAAGAUUUAUUACAAAGAUGCUUCUAGAAA